CAGUCGCCGCGGUAAAACGUAGGUGGCAAGCGUUGUCCGGAAUUAUUGAGCGUAAAGGGCUCGCAGGCGGUUUCUUAAGUCCGAUGUGAAAGCCCCCGGCUCAACCGGGGAGGGUCAUUGGAAACUGGGAAACUUGAGUGCAGAAGAGGAGAGUGGAAUUCCACGUGUAGCGGUGAAGUGCGUAGAGAUGUGGAGGAACACCAGUGGCGAAGGCGACUCACUGGUCUGUAACUGACGCUGAGGAGCGAAAGCGUGGGGAGCGAACAGGAUUAGAUACCCCAGUAGUCCCUGUCUCUUAUAC
rnacentral:rRNA from 1 species